rnacentral:lncRNA from 1 species
UUUUUUAGCACAUGGGAGGGGGGAGGGGCUGACAGAAAACAGAAUAGGGAGAGGGAGAGAUGGCACAAAAACAGGAAAGGGAUCUGGGGAACAAAAACCUGGAGAAAACGAAGGAAAGCAAAAAAUAAAAAAUGAGAAAACAGAGGAAAAAAACGAGAGCAAAAACACGAGCUCACUCCUCUUCUUCCUCAUUAGUUCAUCACCAUCCUUAUACCACAAAACCAAAUCUGAAACUUCCUUCUUCCUCCAUAAAAUUCCAACUCAAAACCAUCCAAGACUCCCACCAUUUAUAGCUAAAAAAAUGCAACAGAACAAGCACAAAAACAGAGCAAAGAACGGAGAACAAAAAUCUUCAGAAAACAGCCGCGACAGCACCAAGAAAGGCAGCGAAAAUCAGCUGCAAAUACUGCUAAAACAGCUCCAAAAUACCCGAAAUAGCAGCUGAAAAUCAGCUCAAAUCCAUCCUCAAAACCUUCCUCAAAACAAUGGGAGACAACCCGAAAUAACUCCGAAUCACCAAUCCCUAUCAUAGAGUCGUUUUGGUUUCGUCUUCCUGAUCUAGUUUAAGUUUCUCCUGCGAGAUUCGAGGUUGCCGUUCAAGCUUUACAACGAGAUUUUCGUUCUUUGCUCGACAGUUCAGGUCCCGUGUGAUUUCAGGCAAGAUUUUUCGAUCAUGGUUCAAAAAAUCAGAUUCAAAACUUUAUUUUAGGUGGAAACCCAUUGAGGUCAAUUUUAUCACCUUUUUUUAAUAAUGCAUGAUAUUUCGGUUCUCUAUUUAGUGCUUUUGGUUGAAUGAAUCUGCAUUUCUAAUGAGUUUGUCAUUGCCUUUUGAAUUAAUUUCCUAUGUCUGCCUUUGUAGUGCUGCAUGUUAGUGAUGGCUAUUGAAUUCAUUUAUAAAUGGAAAGCAUGACACAUAUGCAUGACUAGUUGUAUGUGAUUGUUGCUGUAAAUUGAGUCAUUGACUUAUAGAAGAAAAUGAUACUGUACUGUCUAUUAUAAGUGAAUAUAAGAGAUUUAUAUUGAGUAUGGGAAGACAAAGUGUCAAGAAUAACAAAUAUUUGUUGCCUUCAAUAUGUGGAAUUGGAUGGAAAAUAAGACUUGUUUGGAAUCAUUUUUAGCUGUAUAAAUAGUUUUUUGCUAAUUUUGCUUUGUUUUUGUUUUGCACGAGUAUAAUAACGUGAGUUUAAAGAUGUUAGUGGUUCUUUUGAUAUUUCUCUCUUAAAUUGGAUCGCUCUUUUAUUUUCUUUAUGUGUAAAAUGCUUCCAAAAACUUAGAUGUAUCAUGAUCUUGCUAAUUAAAUUUUACAUUUCAUCUGCAAUUGACUUAGCUUGCUUUAGGCGCGUUUUGAAUUUAUUAUCAUGAUUAUGUACACGUUCGCGAGACAUAGCCACGAUUUCUGAAAUGAAUAUUCUUAGCAAUGCUUUAGGCACGCUUUUAAUCUACCAUCGUGAUUGUGUACACGUUCACGUGACAUAAUUACGAUUUAAAAAAUAAAAUCGAAGUAUGCGUUCGUGCAACUUCGGCCAAAUUUUCGUAAUAUAAUAAAGCGUUAUUAAUGUCAUAGGCGGCUUUCCAGCCAUGCCCCAUGACCCCUUGGGCGCGCCCCGUGGCGUCCUAGCAAGCCUACCAAUGCCUAGCGCCAUGGACGACCCCGUGGUCUUGGCCGCGCCAAGUGACAAGCGCGCAUGUGCCUCUGUCGCCCCACCGAUAUCCCUCGCCCGCGUCCAACCGCAGGCGGAUGCCAACAGCGCCGCACGCGCAGACAGCGCCACACGCGCAGACCCUGAUGCCAAUGACUAUGCUGUUGACAACGGACCUGUUUCUGCCUUGNNNNNNNNNNNNNNNNNNNNNNNNNCAAACUUUCUAGCAAGCAAACAAUUUUCUCUACUGGCGUCUCUCCCCCUCGACACCGCGUUGCCUUUUUGUAAUAGCUUUUAUUAAUGCAAUCAAGCUUUCUUUCAUUCUCAUUUCUGUUCUCUCAAUUGCUCUUGACAUUGAUUUUCCCGUACGACACUGACAAUCUAGUCUAGCGUAUGGAGGGGACCUCAGUUGGUGGACAGUAACUGCACUGACAUCAGUUGCUUAGCUUUACGUCGCCAUUCCAAGGAAUCUCAGGAAGGCGCUGCGUAACAGUUGGUAUCAGAGCCUAGGCUCGACAUCGGAUGAGGGAACGCAUUGCCAUUACCACCAUUUCUGACCAUGGUGAAUCAUGGGAACCACAUUACGGCCCUUGAACAGACGGUUGACGGAUUACGGCCCAUUGUGGAUACGGUGCCUGAAGUAAGAACCAUCCUAGGGCAAAGGUUGGACGACCUGGACCGCAUGGUACUCCAGGCCAAAGUUGACAUAGAAAACAUCAGCCGCGACUCUGAGGGAGACUGGAAAACGGAAGCCACAGAGGCAGCCGGAAUUUUUAGCAAAUUCGAGGGACUCCAACAGGAGCGUGCCGGGGAUUUAGCUUACAGGGCACAAGAGGCUGACAGGGUGACUGCCAUGCAACAAACUAUUGACGACUUGAUAGACAAACUCAAUGUUGUCAAUGCUGCUUUACAGGGCCUGCUUCGAGGUGGUGGAAACCAAAUCAGGGGCACUGCGAACCCCGCUUCUGCGACACAAAAACUAAAAAUUCCUGAGCCAAAGCCAUACAGUGGAGCUAGGAAUGCCAAGGAAGUGGAAAACUUCAUCUUUGACAUCGAACAGUACUUUGAUGCUGUUGGAGGCCUAGAAGAAGCUAAGAAGGUAGCAAUUACUGCCAUGUAUCUUCAGGGUGAUGCUAAACUCUGGUGGCGAGUGAAGUACGAAGCCAUCAAGGCCGGUGAAGAUGCUCUCGAGAUAUGGGUAGAACUGAAGGCAGCCAUACACGUAUAGUUCUUCCCCGAAAAUGUUGAAUACAAUGAAAGGAGAAAGCUACGGGAGCUCCACCAGACCAAGUCAGUGCGGGACUACGUGCGGGAAUUCUCCGCGCUCAUGCUAAACAUACAUGCCAUGGGGGACAAAGACAAGCUCUUCACAUUCCUAGAAGGGUUGAAACCUUAUGCUCGCAUGGAACUGCAAAGACAAAGGGUAGAUACCCUACCCAAGGAGAUCCAAGCAGCUGAAUGCCUUGGGGACUAUCAAGUGGAAGCUCGGAAGGAUCGGCCUCAACCGCCUGUCUAAGCGGGAUUCAAAGGGGGCCAACCUAACAAUGGGGGCUCUAGCAGAAGUGGGGGAGAUCUUAGUGCAACCAAAUCUAAGGCUCUCUCCUCAGGCAGUAAUAGUGCUACGUCAAACAACAAUGACCAGGGGAGAAAGAAUCCUUCGGGAUGCCGUCAUUGCGGCGGACCACAUUGGAAUAAUGAGUGUCCACAUGCACAGAUGAACACCCAUCAAGCCUUUGACGAUGGGACAGAUGACGACACAGAUGUUGCAGACCAGACCGAGCCAGUAGGUGCCUUCAAUGCAAUUGUUGGCUCCAUUUCUGAGGCCUUAGCGGGAACUAAUGCUAGCAUCCGUAAUAAGAAGGACCCCUGCCCAAGCACCAAGAAAGGGAAAAAGAAGGCGGAUGAGAGGAAUCCUCCUAAACAAGAGAGGACCUUAAUGUUCUUUAAGAUGAAGGUAAAUGGCAAGCCUAUUCGGGCGAUGAUAGACACGGGUGCUACCCAUAACUAUUUAGCCUCGACUCAGGUGGAGCGCCUUGGUCUAGUUGUAGGAAAGGGCAGAGGUAGUGUCAAGGCUAUCAACUUACCUCCUCAGCCAGUGGGUGGGAUAGCCAAAGAGGUACUAGUGAAGCUUGGCCCUUACGAAGGAAAAUUCAACCUGCGCGUGGUGAUCAUAGAUGACUUCGAGUUGAUAGUUGGAUUGGAAUUCCUGAGGCAAACCAACACCAUGCCUGUACCGUAUGCUGACAUAUUACUGAUGAUGGGAACAAACAGGACCAAGCCCUGCAUUAUCCCGUGCAUGCCCAUGAAGAUGGCCGUUGAAAACAUCUCGGCCUUGCUGUUGAAGAAGGGGGUCAAAAGACAUGAACCUACGUUCCUGGCAACCCUCUACAUUGAAGAUGUAGAACGCUCCUCGGGUCCCAUUCCUGAGCCCGUGAAGGAGCUACUACUAGAGUUUGAAGAUGGCAUGCCAUAAGACAUGCCAAAGUGACUACCGCCUAGGCGCACUGUGGACCAUGAAAUUGAGAUGGUGCCGGGUGCGAAGCCACCCGCCUGGGCGCCUUACAGAAUGUCACAACCCGAACUCACCGAGCUUCGGAGACAAUUGAUGGAAAUGCUAAACACAGGGAUCAUCAUGCCCUCCAAAUCCCCAUACGGGUCCCCUGUGCUAUUCCAAAAGAAACAUGAUGGCAGCCUAUGACUCUGUGUGGACUAUUGGGCUCUAUACAAAAUUACUGUGAAGAACAAGUACCCUAUUCCGCUAAGGGCAGACUUGUUCAAUAGACUGGGUGGUGUGACGGUGUUCACCAAAAUAGACCUGAAGACAGGUUAUUGGCAAGUUCGGAUUGCAGAGGGUGAUGAACACAAGACAACCUGUGUGACAAGAUAUGGGUCGUAUGACUUCCUGGUUAUGCCAUUCGGCUUGACUAACGCCCUAUCUAUGUUUUGCAAUUUGAUGAACCAAGUCUUCCGAGAGUACAUUGAUGAAUUCAUGGUGGUCUACUUGGAUGACAUUAUGGUAUAUAGCCAAACAUUGGAGGAACACCUGAUGCACUUGCGGAAGGUCCUAGAUCGAUUGCGGGAGCAUGAACUAUAUGCGAAGCUAUCUAAGUUCUCCUUUGCUCAAAAGCAAAUUGACUUCCUCAGACAUGUCAUCGAGGAAGUGCGGAUCAAGAUGGACCAACAAAAGAUUCAAGCAAUCACAGAUUGGCCACUGCCUAAGGAUAUCCACGCCUUGAGGGCGUUCCUUGGUCUAUGCAAUUUCUAUCGGCGAUUUGUGAAAAACUACUCCCUCAUUGCAGUACCAUUAACAGAACUCCUCAAGAAGGUCACACCUUGGGAAUGGAGACACAAGCGAGUGGAGGCCUUCAACGCAUUGAAAGUGGCUAUGUCCAGUAGCCUCGUCUUGGCCCUUCCUGAUCUGGCCAAGCCAUUCGAAGUACAAACAGAUGCAUCUGACUAUGCCCUCGGUGGAGUCUUGCUACAAGAAAGGCAUUCUGUAGCGUACGAGAGUCGGAAACUGAAAGAUGCAGAGCGUACCAGAUACAGGAUUUACUCAUCAAGGAUCCUGCUGCACAGUAUUUGGUUGAUUUGGUAGGACAGGGCAAGACUCACCAGUUCUACAUGGAAGAUGGUUUCCUGAAAGUGAAAAGGAACCGACUUUAUGUUCCUAAAAGAGGAGAUCUGCGAAGGACUCUUCUGGCUGAAUGUCAUGAUACUCUAUGGGCCGACCAUCCCGGUGAGGAACACACCAUGGCGUUACUUCGAUGUGCAUAUUAUUGGCCUCAAAUGGCCGAUGACGUUGCUCAGUAUGUGAAGACUUGUCUAGUAUGCCAGAAGGGCAAGUCGGACCGCUUAACACAAGCGGGACUCUUGGAACCACUAGUGUCCCAAAGAGACCUUGGGAAAGCGUUUCCCUGGAUUUCAUCACCGGAUUGCCCAAGGUCGGAGAUCUCAUAACUAUCUUGGUUAUGGUAGAUCGGUUUUCCAAGUAUGCUACCUUUAUUGUUGCCCCCACAAUAUAUAUCAGCAGAAGAUACAGCUCGACUUUUCUUCUCUCAUGUCAUCAAAUAUUGGGGCCUGCCCAAAGACAUUGUUAGUGAUCGCAACUCAUGAUUCACUAGUAACUUUUGGACCCAACUCUUUAAGUGCCUUAGGUCAAAGCUGAGUCACAUCUCAAGUUUUCAUCCGCAAUCUGAUGGCCAGAUGGAGUGGUUCAAUGGUAUAUUGGAGGAAUAUCUCUGUCACUUUGUAACCGGAUCGCAGAAGAAUUGGGUGAAACUUCUGGAUGUUGCUCAACUGUGUUUUAAUUCACAAAAGAGCUCUAAUACAAACAAAAAUGCUUUUGAAAUUGUUACCGGACAACAACCGCUACUCCCACACACAGUCAAUGCACCAAAUAUGUCUAAAUCUCCUCGAGCUGCUAGCUUCUCAAAAGAGUGGAAGAAAAAUUUGGAGAUAGUGUGGAGCUAUCUUGUCAAGGCUCAAAAGCGGAUGAAGAGGCAUGCUGAUCAGAAUCGUCACUUCGUUGAAUACCAAGUAUGAGACAAAGUGAUGGUCAAAAUUCCAAAGUGGUAUUUGCAGGGGUCCAUGACCCUCGCCUAUUGAAAAAAUACAUUGGACCCUUGUCCAUUGAAAGACACAUUGGGAAAGUUGCAUACCGGGUGGAUACCCGAGCUUGGUGGAAAAUUCAUCCUGUCUUCCAUGUCAGCCUCCUGAAACCUUUUCGGGAAGACACGGAGGAUCCUUCACGGAGCCAGCUCACAAUACCCAGUAUUCGAGGGCCCAAUUCAACCGGGAAAAGGCAUGUUGAAGCUAUCCUUGAUGAUAGAGUGAUUCAUGCCUCAAGGAAAGAUCACCAAGAGUUCUUGGUGAAAUGACAAGGCUGUAAUGCAGAGGAGAACACUUGGGAGAGGGGAACAAACCUCAAAGCCUACAAGAGCCUAAUUGAAGAUUAUCUUGCAAGUAAGGCGCCGAUGACGUCGUCAACGCAGGUGGGAGAUAAUGUCAUGGGCGGCUUUCCAGCCAUGCCCCAUGACCCCUUGGGCGCACCCCGUGGCGUCCUAGCAAGCCUCCCAAUGCCUAGCGCCACGGACGGCCCCGUGGUCUUGGCCGCCAAGUGACAAGUGCGCAUGUGCCUCUGUCGCCCCACCGAUAUCCCUCGCCUGCGCCCAACCGCAGGCGGAUGCCAACAGCACCGCGCGCAUAGACAAUGUCGUGCGUGCAGACCCUGAUGCCAAAGACUAUGCUGCUGACAACGAACCUGUUUCUGCCUUGUAGAAAACUAAGUCCUUUUUAUUGUAAAUAUAGAGUAGUUUUAUUCCAUGUACUUCCAUUAUGUUUCUAUAGAUUAAUCAAGUCUAGUCUUGUAGCUUUGGUUUAUUUUUUUUAAGUAUUAUUUGGGAAGAUCAAGCAAUCAAACUUUCUAGCAAGCAAACAAUUCUCUGUACUGGUGUCUCUCCCCCUCGACACCGCGUUGCCUUUCUGUAAUAGCUUUAAUUAAUGCAAUCAAGCUUUCUUUCAUUCUCAAUUCUCAUUUCUGUUCUCUCAAUUGCUCUUGACAUUGGUUUUCUCGUACGGUACUGACAAUCUAGUCUAGCGUACAGAGGGGACCUCAGUUGGCCGACAGUAACUGCACUGACAUCAGUUGCUUAGCCUUACUUCGCCCUUCCAAGGAAUCUUAGGAAGGCGUCGUGUAACAUUAAUUAUGGACACGUACGCGUGACAUGAUUUUUGAUGCACCAAACAAAUGGGUACAUGUACGCGUGACCUGUUUUAAGAUAAUUUAUUAAUUAAAAGAGGUGAAAGCACAUAGGUUCCAAAAAUGAGUAGUUAAACAAUUUGAUUAAGUAUGAUCAAAGCGACCGUGCUAAAACCACGGAACUUGGAAAUGCCUAACACCUUCUCCCGGGUUAACAGAAUUCCUUACCCGAAUUUCUGUAUUCGCAGACCAUAAAUAAGAGUCAACUUCCUCGAUUCGGGAUUUUAAACCGGUGACUUGGGACACCAUAAAUUAUCCCAAGUGGCGACUCUGAUUUUUAAAUAAUAAUCUUGUUUCGAUUGUCACUUAAAUUAGAAAAACACUCUCUUGUACCUCUUUCGGGGUAGAAAAAGGAAGUGUGACAACUCUGCUGGGGAUAAGAACCCAGAACUUCUAGUUUAGGGUUCAAGAAUUCGAGCUUGUUAAUGUGAUUUUACUUGGCUUUAUUGUUUGUUGAUAUUACUGUAUUUGUGGACAUAAUGUGCUAACUGUCGCUUAUUUACCGCUUUGAUAUUAUUUGAAUUGUAUUAAACUGUCUUCUUACGCCUCCCAUAUGCGUUUUCUAAAAAAUGGUGCACACGUUCGCGUGACCCGCUUUUCUGUUAAAGGUGGUACCAAAUAGAACGGGGCUUGGGUCAACAACAAGGCCGUGUAGACUUUCGUGCUCCAGGUACUUUGCCCUCACCUCGGCUCGAGCUGCCCGUUUGGGUAAACCAUGUCUAGAGCACACCCCUAGGGUUUCAAACCUAGAAAAUAUAACCUCAUGUCGGAUCCCUAGUAGGAACAUUUGUUUGUAUCACGUGCAUUUGACUUUGGGGACUUAACAUAGGGGUUGGGUCCAUCUAGGACAGGUGUAUCCAAAAUGAAAGAUCAUCCUAAUGCAUCAUACGUGCUAUUUGUACAUUUAUUUGCUUCGGUUUGUAUGUUGAUCGGCUAAGGAAAGAAAAACAACAGAAAAAGUAAAACCAAGAGUGAGGUAGACUAGAGAAUUCACCAGGUUCUGAAAACCCGAUAUUUGAAAAUGCCUCGAAACUCUGCCAAAAUUUUUGAAAAAAAAAGAAGAAAAGAAAAUGUAUUUCAAAAAUAAAAUGAAAAUGAGUCAAUAUCAUGUUUUUCCAAUUAUGUGAGAUACGUAGGCAAACCUCAUUGGUUUCGAACCCCAAUUUUCAAAAAAUCUAAAAAUAUUUUCCUUUACUUCCUUCUUUAGAAUAGUCUUUCUUUAAGACCCCAAUUUUAAAAAAAAUCCAAAAUAUUUUUUUAAUUUCUUCUAAAAAUUCAAAAAUAUUUUCAUUUUUCUUUAGAAGUUUUUCUUUCGAAAAUUUAAAAAAAAAAUUCAAUAUUCAAAAAUAUUUUAUUUAGAAGUCUUUCUUUCACAAUUUUAACAUGAAAGUCUAAAAAUCCAAAGAUAUUUUCUUUCGAAAUUCCAAAAACAAAAAUUGAAAUCAAAAAAUAUUUUCUUUUUUCUUUAUAAGUCUUUCUUUUGAAAAUUAAAAAAGACAAAAAAAUCAAAAUCCAAAAAAAAAGAUUUACUUUAUUUCUUUUAUUCCUAAUCUUGCCGAACUACGCAAGAUUUGAUUCAUGUUCCCAUAUGAUACGUAGGCAACUCACAUCAGGUUCAAUCGAAUGAGUUAAAGAAAAACAAAAACAAAAAAAAAGAGAGAAAGGAAAGAAAAAAAAAGAGAGAAAAGGAAAAAAAAAGAAAGAAAGUGUUUAUUCUAACAUGUUUGUUGUUUUGAAAUAAAAGCUAGUCAAAGGUGGUCGGUUUGUUGGUUUGCAAUGGCGAGUCACAAAAACCAUCCAAGAUUUCUCGGAAAUAAAAGCAUCUUCUCAACCGAUGGAACAAGCACCAUUGUUGUUGAUCCAAGGUCACGAAAAGGUAAGUAGACAAGUUGGCAGUGAAAAAUAAAAAAAAUGGAGGCAAAUGUGGGGUUGAAUUUACUAGAUUUGAGCAAUAGGACAUGGGCUGCACGGGAUGAUUGUCAAAAUUUGAGUGUUGAAUCCAAAGCAAUUAAAAUGGUCAAAUGUCGUGGUAAUGUUGAUGUGCGAAUGUGUGGCUAAGAUGUCGCUUAGUAACUGGAAAGUCACUCCUCCUUUAGUCAUGGUAGCUUAUUUUGUCGUCUUUUCUUUUUGUGUUAUCGGACUCUGCUAUCCUUUAUUCAAUAAAAAGCAGUCAGUAUUUUGUUUCCAUUUUGUGCAUAGUUCUUUUCACACUAGUUUUAGUGACAUGACAUGCAUGCAGAAUUUUUGGCCAGAUCUUAGAAAUGAUUUAAGCUUGAAUUGGAUAAGUGAGAACAAGAUACUUUUGAGGAUGAAAAAGAGUUGAAAUACCUUGGAAUUAAGCCCGAGUAAAAUUCAAGUGGAGCUAGAAUAGUUAUACCCGUGGAGGUUAAGGAUAUUUACCUUCAAAAUCACUAUUAAGAUCGGGUUGAGGAAGAAUCAAUUGAAGUUUGUUGAAAAGUUUGACAUUAAGGGAUGGUGUCUUGUGACCACGACACACCAAGAAGACAGACAUGUUCGUCAAUGCUAUGAUCGCGAAAAGAUAAUAUAUUUGGCGUUCUCGAGGCUGGGAGGCCCUUUUUCCGCUAUCCAAAUACUUUAUAUCCUUCGCUACCCCUUUUGAGUCUGUGUUAUUUUCUUUGACCACCCUCUUUUGGAAUCAAGUUUAGAGUCAAGAGUCAAAAAAUAAAAAAAACUUAAAAAAAGAAAAAGAAAAGUCCAUGUUUCAAGAGUACAAACUUGGGCAAUUCUUAGAAAGUUCAAGUGAAAAAAACAAUGAAGAAGAAAAGAACUAGCAAAGGUCCAUGCCCCCAAAAAAUAGAAGAUGUGACAACUUGUUUUGAAAAAUAAAAGACAAAAGGAAAAAAAAAGACAAAGAAAAAGAAAGAAAGAUGGAAAAAUAGUUAAGUCAGAUGUUUGAACUACGUUCGACCCUUAAAAAAGGAUACGUAGGCAGCUUCACAGUUUGGUCCAACCAAAUAAGAAUUCAAAAAAAAAAUCCAAAAAAUCCCCAUUAGCUGAAACUGGGGCAAAGAUUAUAUUUCAAGUUUGAAAGAGUCGAUUCCAAGAGUUGUAAGUCAACAACUCCCUUAGUUUGAGUCCACUUUGAGCCUUAUGCCUUCCUUUCUUUUCAACCCUAUCCAAAUACUUCAAAAAAAAGACCUCCCGAUAUGCCUUCAAGAAUGCCAAGAGAAGCAUGCAAUGAGCAACGGUUGUCACGCGACAUAGAACACUGUCAUGUUGCUCACAGAAAGAAAAGAAGGGGAAAGAAAAAAGAAAAAAGAAAAAGAAAAAUGAGAUUCUUACUAGUGCAAACCCUCGCGGGCACUGUAAGGCGAUGGUAAACAGAGAUGAAUAAAUGAGAGAGACUUGCUGGUGAAAAUCCCUCGGGGUACCACUAGUCGAAAGUGAGUUGUGAAGCUGAUGCAAAGGAUUGGCACGAACAAGCCCGACUUCAAAGGUCAUAAGAAUGGUAAAAGGGAAGAUUGGAUCAGUUUAAUAGAUCAGGCCCUUAAGUCCAAAAUGCAUGUCAUGAUCAUUAAGACUAGUUAUUGAAAAAAAACCCUUCCUUUUAUCCUUUCCGAUAGGGGCAUUUCUUGUUAAUACUGUUUCUUUGCAUCAUUGUGUCCUUCACUCUAAGUCAGUCCUUGUCAAAACAAGCAAGAAAAGAUUUCAAAAUUUGCUACCAGCUUUUCAGUUGCACAAAGUAAAUUUGGCCAACACACUCAGUUGUUACAGUCAAUAUACCUUGAGGAUUCAUGCAAAGGCUCCCCCAAAAGACUCUUGUCAACCUACUUGGCGCAAGCAGAGAUAACUGGUGAUUCUCUCUGACAGACAAAUUGUUAAAAAACAGAAAGUCGUUCAAGAUAUUGGAAAAGGUCACUUAAACAAAGAUUUGGGAUAAGGUUGAUUGAACCGCAAAUACAAAUGGUACUGAGUGUGAAACAAUCAGAAUUGGUGCAGAACAAAAGUCUUUUGAGACCGACUCUAGCUGAUUGAGCAGAAGCCAAGCUGCCCAAGACUUAAGGCCAUAAACCGACCACCAUUUUCAAAACUGACAAAUUUUUCUUUGUGUGAAACAGGAACAAAGCAGUGCAAGGAAUGUGGUUCAAAAAAAAUAAAAAAAAUAAAAAAAGAGAAAGAAAAGAAAAGAAAAGAAGAGCCAACAAAGGGAAGUUUCUCAACUCUUUGCUAUUGUGCAUAAAAUCUUGCCAUUGAUCUUCACAUUUUUCCUCCUAGGAUAAAAAGUCCUAGUCUGAUAGAUUUUCCUCCCAAUAAAAAUCUUAGUCUGAUGAAUUUUUCUCCUAAGAUAAGAAAACAUAGUCUGAUGAAUCUUUCUCCUAGGAUAGAAAUCUUAGCCUGAUGAAUUUUUCUCCUAAGAUAGUAAACCUAGUCUGAUGAAUUUUCUCCUAAGAUAGGAAACCUAGUCUGAUGAAUUUUCUUCUAGGAUCAAAAUCUUAGUCGAUGAAUUUUUUUUUUCUCAGAUAGAAGACCUAGUCUGAUGAAUUUUCUUCUAGGAUCAAAAUCUUAGUCGAUGAAUUUUUUUUUCUCAGAUAGAAGACCUAGUCUGAUGAACUUUACCUAGGAUCGAAACCUAGUGUGAUGAAUCUUUCUCCUAAGAUAAUAAAAAAGGGACCUAGUCUGAUGAAUUUUCUCCUAGGAUAAUUGAAAAAAGGGGCCAAUUUUUAGUUUUCUUAAGUUAUCAAUGUUUAGUUUUCUUGAAAUCAGGGGUCCCGCCUGGAGAAUAGGGUCAGUAUUUACUUUAGUCAAACUUAGUUUAUAGUUUUUCGCAAGCUCAAUCACUUUUAGGAGACACACAUCCUAGUCUAGUCAUUAAUUUUACUCUCAUCAUUACAUUCUUCAUCAGCAAAGUAGGUGAUUUAUAGUUUUGCUAACAACUUACAAAUCUUCCAAGUGCAAACUGGGGCAGAAAAGUUUCUUUUGUUUUGUCUGUUUUGUUAUAGUAGCAGGUGCCCACCUGGAGAACAAGGGAACUCAUUUCAGAGUCGUGCGAAGUUUCAAGUCACUAGCAGGCUCCCACCUGGAGAACAAGGGAAGUUAUUUCAGGAUUCAACUCAAGUUAGAAGUAGCAGAAGCUCGCGACAAGAAUGCGAGUCAAUAACCCGAGAUGACCAACAGAAGUAGUCUCAAUCCAAAAAAAGAGAAAAAAAGAAGUGAAUCCAAAAUGCAGAAGCAUGAAAAAGAUGUGAACUGAUCAAGACGUGGUUGAAGUCAUGAGCGCUACAUGUCCGGUCUUGAUCCAAAAGUUGAAGAAGAAUGAACUGGCACCUGCAGCUAGCAAGCGGCAAGGUUCAAAUCUAAAGUCUGCAUGAAGAACCAUUCAAGACUCAAGAUCAAGCUUCAGAAGACUCAUAGAUAGGAAUCUUGUAACUCGUAGCUGAUAGGCUUAGUUAGUCUUUUCAAUUUUGAUUUUUGAUGUAAUGAUAGGACAGCGGAUCGGAACCUCGACGGAAUGGAACCUCACUCGGCUCUCCACCUCGGUACACUCCAUCACCUCAUUCACUUCUGAACUACACGUGGCCUGAUUCCUUUAUAGCCAAGGAUAUGUAUGCAGCUCAAAUACCAGGGCUCAGUCACAUUCUCCUUACUCUUAGUUUUUAGUCUCUCCCAAAAAAGGGUCGGGUAAAAAAAACCCGUCUCGUCGUUCUUUGUCUGAAAAUUCUUCGUAUUUUCAGUCAAAGAGGAGCAGUUGUAGACAUGUAAUUUUUGAUCCUCCUCGAAAUUUUAUACAUUUUAACGUUUAAAUAUUUAGUUUAGGUCUAAUAUCGCUAUUUUCGCUAUUUUUAAACUUCUUCGGUUUAUUUUAUUUCAAAAACUAAAAACUACAAAAAAUAUUUUUCUUUAUGUUAGAUUAUUGAUAUUUUGUUUAGUUAGUUUUAUUUUAUUUUAUUUACAAAGGAUAAAAAGAGAAGUUAAAAAAAUAUUUUACUUGACUUAGUAUGAUUUUAAGUUGUACAUAUUUAGUAAAUAUUAAAUAGUAUUUAAAUUUCUUUAAUAUGAUUAUCUUGUCUUUCAUUUAAUUAUUCCCUAUUAUUUUAGAUAAAACUAGUAUUUAGGUUCAUCUUUAGAAUAGAAAAAAAUAAUAAAAAAAUAUAAAAUAAAAUAAAAAGAAUGAAAUGAUGAAAUGAAAAAUGAAAAGCAAACAAACAAAAGGAAAAGAGGCAAAGAAGAGAAGAACGUGAAAAGUGAAAAAUGUGGACCCUACCACCUUAUCUCUCCAUAACAAACCUCACAUGCACCCUAUUUUAAUUUGCCACUCACGUUUUUUUAGCACAUGGGGGGGGGGGAGGGCUGAAAAAAAAACAGAAUAAGGAGAGGGAGAGAGGGCACAAAAACUGGAAAGGGAUUUGGGGAACGAAAACCUGGGGAAAACGAAGGAAAGCAAAAAAAAUGAGAAAACCGAGGAAAAAAAGGAGAGCAAAAAUACAAGCUCACUCCUCUUCUUCCUCAUUAGUUCAUCACCAUUUUUAUACUGCAAAACCAAAUCUGAAACUUCCUUUUUCCUCCAUGAAAGUCCAGCCAUGAAAUCCCAACUCAAAACCAUCUAAGACUCCCACCAUUUAUAGCUGAAAAAUGCAACAAAAUAGGCACAAAAACAGAGCAAAGAACGGAGAACAAAAAUCUCCAGAAAAAUAGCCGCGACAACACCAAGAAAGGUAGCAAAAAUCAGCUGCAAAUACUGCAAAAACAACUCCAAAAUACCCGAAAUACCAGCUGAAAAUCUGCUCAAAUCCAUCCUCAAAACAACGGGAGACAACCCAAAAUAACUCUGAAUCACCAAUCCAUGUCAUGGAGUCGUUUUGGUUUCGUCUUCCUGAUCUAGUUUGAGUUUCUCAGGCGAGAUUCGAGGUUGCCGUUCCAGCUUUACAACGAGGCUUUCAUUCUUGGCUCGACGGUUCCGGCCCUGUGUGAUUUCAGUCAAGAUUUUUCGAUCGUGGUUCAAAAAAUCAGAUUCAAAACUUUAUUUUAGGUGGAAACCCAUUGAGGUCAAUUUCAUCACCACUUUCUUUAAUAAUGCAUGAUAUUUCGGUUCUCUGUUUAGUGCUUUUGGUUGAAUGAGUCUGCAUUUCUAAUGAGUUUGUCAUUGCUUUUUGAAUUAAUUUCCUAUGUCUACCUUUGUAGUGCUGCAUGUUAGUGAUGACUAUUGAAUUUAUUUAUAAAUGAAAAGCAUGACACAUAUGCAUGACUAGCUAUAUGUGAUUGUUGCUGUAAAUUGAGUCUGUCUUAUAGAAAAAAAUGAUACUGCACUGUCCAUUAUAAGUAAAUGUAAGAGAUCUAUAUUGAGUAUGGGAAGACAAAGUGUCUAGAGUAAUAAAUAUUCGUUGCCUUCAAUACAUGCAAUUGGAUGGAAAAUAGGACUUGUUUGGAAUCAUUUUUAAUUGUAUAAAUAAUUUUUUGCUAAUUUUGCUUUGUUUUUGUUUUGCACGAGUAUAAUAACGUGAGUUUAAAGAUGUUAGUGGUUCUUUUGAUAUUUCUCUCUUAAAUUGGAUUGCUCUUUUAUUUUCUUUACGUGUAAAAUGCUUCCAAAAACUUAGAUGUAUCAUGAUCUUGCUAAUUAAAUUUUACAUUUCAUCUGCAAUUGACUUAGCUUGCUUUAGGCGCGUUUUGAAUUUAUUAUCGUGAUUAUGUACACGUUCGCAUG